rnacentral:rRNA from 1 species
AACGAUGAAGAGUUUGAUCCUGGCUCAGGAUGAACGCUAGCGGCAGGCCUAACACAUGCAAGUCGAGGGGUAACAUAGAAAAGCUUGCUUUUCUGAUGACGACCGGCGCACGGGUGCGUAACGCGUAUACAAUCUGCCUUAUACUGGGGUAUAGCCUUUAGAAAUGAAGAUUAACCCCCCAUAGUCUCUUUAAAUGGCAUCAUUUUUAGAGUAAAGGUUACGGUAUAAGAUGAGUAUGCGUUCUAUUAGUUAGUUGGUGAGGUAACGGCUUACCAAGACUGCGAUAGAUAGGGGCCCUGAGAGGGGGAUCCCCCACACUGGUACUGAGACACGGACCAGACUCCUACGGGAGGCAGCAGUGAGGAAUAUUGGACAAUGGAGGCAACUCUGAUCCAGCCAUGCCGC